rnacentral:rRNA from 2 species
UAGGGAAUCUUCGGCAAUGGACGAAAGUCUGACCGAGCAACGCCGCGUGAGUGAAGAAGGUUUUCGAAUCGUAAAACUCUGUUGUUAGAGAAGAACAAGGACGUUAGUAACUGAACGUCCCCUGACGGUAUCUAACCAGAAAGCCACGGCUAACUACGUGCCAGCAGCCGCGGUAAUACGUAGGUGGCAAGCGUUGUCCGGAUUUAUUGGGCGUAAAGCGAGCGCAGGCGGUUUCUUAAGUCUGAUGUGAAAGCCCCCGGCUCAACCGGGGAGGGUCAUUGGAAACUGGGAGACUUGAGUGCAGAAGAGGAGAGUGGAAUUCCAUGUGUAGCGGUGAAAUGCGUAGAUAUAUGGAGGAACACCAGUGGCGAAGGCGGCUCUCUGGUCUGUAACUGACGCUGAGGCUCGAAAGCGUGGGGAGCAAACAGG